UUUCUCAGCAAGUCAUGAUACAAAAGACAAGCUUAGCAACAAAUACAUUUACUUUCAACCAAGAAUCUGCCCAAUUUGGGGGAACUGCGAAUCAUUCAACCAUGGAAUCAGACCCAGGGAUGUUAGCUGAACUCAUACAGACACACAAAUGUCUCGAGGUAGAUUUCAAGCCGCAACCACAGAAGUGGGAAGCAACAGAGCCACCACUGAGCUACCGUGUGGCCCACAAGUCACCAUGAUUAUUUCAGGCUACCUUCACCAUGCAAGGCAUGCAGCAGAGCUGAGAAGGCUAGCUGAGCUGCUGAACGUGAUGCAACAGAUUGGACUUCGGUCUGAAUGGAAGUGAUUCACAGCCUGUGGCUCUGCAUCGUGGCAGGUCUGCUGGUCUUAAGAGGGGACCAAUGUGAGGUUGCCAGAGGGGCCACUGAGGGAAACACCAGCAUGGAUCUGGUCCUUCCGUGCUCAUGGGCAGAAGAGCUGCAAACAUGACCACAGUCAGUGCGUGACAUAGACAUGGCCCCAAUUAUUCCACGCUUGACUGGAGAGUCACCUGCCUGAUGAACCGACUUGUUUUAAAUUUAGUAUUGUAGUAAACAAUGCUUUAUUUUUUUGUAUGGCGCCCUAAACCUCACGCAAGAUAAAAUAUCCAGAUAUCAGAAUGUGCCAUGCUCAUUCAUGGCUUAUUCUGCUGUAGCGCGAUACACAUCAGCAUCGAGUCAUUCAAAACGCAAAUUAAAACAAAUGUCUCACACAUGCCUGCAUCUUUAAGGGUGCAAAAGCAAGGGACACUGUUCCAUUACUGGUGUUACACCACAGCAAAAUGAGGGCCCUUUAACUGAAAAGCAGAUGUGUAGCCUUCCCCAGAAAGAGUUCAGAUGGUGGCAGAGCAGCAGUCCCACGUGA